rnacentral:rRNA from 1 species
UUGCAGGGUAUAGACCCGAAACCCGGUGAUCUAGCCAUGGGCAGGUUGAAGGUUGGGUAACACUAACUGGAGGACCGAACCGACUAAUGUUGAAAAAUUAGCGGAUGACUUGUGGCUGGGGGUGAAAGGCCAAUCAAACCGGGAGAUAGCUGGUUCUCCCCGAAAGCUAUUUAGGUAGCGCCUCGUGAAUUCAUCUCCGGGGGUAGAGCACUGUUUCGGCAAGGGGGUCAUCCCGACUUACCAACCCGAUGCAAACUGCGAAUACCGGAGAAUGUUAUCACGGGAGACACACGGCGGGUGCUAACGUCCGUCGUGAAGAGGGAAACAACCCAGACCGCCAGCUAAGGUCCCAAAGUCAUGGUUAAGUGGGAAACGAUGUGGGAAGGCCCAGACAGCCAGGAUGUUGGCUUAGAAGCAGCCAUCAUUUAAAGAAAGCGUAAUAGCUCACUGGUCGAGUCGGCCUGCGCGGAAGAUGUAACGGGGCUAAACCAUGCACCGAAGCUGCGGCAGCGACACUGUGUGUUGUUGGGUAGGGGAGCGUUCUGUAAGCCUGUGAAGGUGUGCUGUGAGGCAUGCUGGAGGUAUCAGAAGUGCGAAUGCUGACAUAAGUAACGAUAAAGCGGGUGAAAAGCCCGCUCGCCGGAAGACCAAGGGUUCCUGUCCAACGUUAAUCGGGGCAGGGUGAGUCGACCCCUAAGGCGAGGCCGAAAGGCGUAGUCGAUGGGAAACAGGUUAAUAUUCCUGUACUUGGUGUUACUGCGAAGGGGGGACGGAGAAGGCUAUGUUGGCCGGGCGACGGUUGUCCCGGUUUAAGCGUGUAGGCUGGUUUUCCAGGCAAAUCCGGAAAAUCAAGGCUGAGGCGUGAUGACGAGGCACUACGGUGCUGAAGCAACAAAUGCCCUGCUUCCAGGAAAAGCCUCUAAGCAUCAGGUAACAUCAAAUCGUACCCCAAACCGACACAGGUGGUCAGGUAGAGAAUACCAAGGCGCUUGAGAGAACUCGGGUGAAGGAACUAGGCAAAAUGGUGCCGUAACUUCGGGAGAAGGCACGCUGAUAUGUAGGUGAAGUCCCUCGCGGAUGGAGCUGAAAUCAGUCGAAGAUACCAGCUGGCUGCAACUGUUUAUUAAAAACACAGCACUGUGCAAACACGAAAGUGGACGUAUACGGUGUGACGCCUGCCCGGUGCCGGAAGGUUAAUUGAUGGGGUUAGCGCAAGCGAAGCUCUUGAUCGAAGCCCCGGUAAACGGCGGCCGUAACUAUAACGGUCCUAAGGUAGCGAAAUUCCUUGUCGGGUAAGUUCCGACCUGCACGAAUGGCGUAAUGAUGGCCAGGCUGUCUCCACCCGAGACUCAGUGAAAUUGAACUCGCUGUGAAGAUGCAGUGUACCCGCGGCAAGACGGAAAGACCCCGUGAACCUUUACUAUAGCUUGACACUGAACAUUGAGCCUUGAUGUGUAGGAUAGGUGGGAGGCUUUGAAGUGUGGACGCCAGUCUGCAUGGAGCCGACCUUGAAAUACCACCCUU